GAAUUUGGGACAAUGGGCGAAAGCCUGAUCCAGCAAUGCCGCGUGCAGGAUGAAGGCCUUCGGGUUGUAAACUGCUUUUGUACGGAAGGAAAAGCUUUGGGUUAAUACUCUGGAGUUAUGACGGUACCGUAAGAAUAAGCACGGGAUAACUACGUGCCAGCAGCCGCGGUAAUACUUAGGGUGCAGGCGUUAAUCGGAAUUACUGGGCGUAAAGCUGGCGCAGGCGGUUUUGUAAGACAGAGGUGAAAUCCCCGGGCUCAACCUGGGAACUGCCUUUGUGGCUGCAAGGCUAGAGUACGGCAGAGUGGGGUGGAAUUCCGCGUGUAGCAGUGAAAUGCGUAGAUAUGCGGAGGAACACCGAUGGCGAAGGCAACCCCCUGGGCCUGUACUGACGCUCAUGCACGAAAGCGUGGGGAGCAAACA
rnacentral:rRNA from 1 species